CAAGACCGGUGCCAGCCGCCGCGGUAACACCGGCGGCCCGAGUGGUAGCCGUUAUUAUUGGGUUUAAAGGGUCCGUAGCCGGCCUAUUAAGUCUCUUGGGAAAUCUGGCGACUCAAUCGUCAGUCGUCCAAGAGAUACUGGUAGGCUUGGGACCGGGAGAGGUGGGAGGUACUCCAGGGGUAGGGGUGAAAUCUCGUAAUCCUUGGGGGACCACCGAUGGCGAAGGCAUCCCACCAGAACGGGUCCGACGGUGAGGGACGAAAGCUGGGGGCACGAACCGGAUUAGAUACCCUAGUAGUC
rnacentral:rRNA from 1 species